rnacentral:rRNA from 1 species
GCCUAUCAUGCAGUCGAACGCUUUGUGGUUCAACUGAUUUGAAGAGCUUGCUCAGAUAUGACGAUGGACAUUGCAAAGAGUGGCGAACGGGUGAGUAACACGUGGGAAACCUACCUCUUAGCAGGGGAUAACAUUUGGAAACAGAUGCUAAUACCGUAUAACAAUAGCAACCGCAUGGUUGCUACUUAAAAGAUGGUUCUGCUAUCACUAAGAGAUGGUCCCGCGGUGCAUUAGUUAGUUGGUGAGGUAAUGGCUCACCAAGACGAUGAUGCAUAGCCGAGUUGAGAGACUGAUCGGCCCU